AACGAACGCUGGCGGCGUGGAUGAGGCAUGCAAGUCGAGCGGUAGCAGAAAGAAGCUUGCUUCUUUUGCUGACGAGCGGCGAACGGGUGAGGAAUGCUUGAGCAACCUGCCCUGAAGUUCGGAAUAGCUGUGGGAAACUGCAGGUAAUGCCGGAUGUGAUAAUCCUGGGCAUCCAGGUGAAUUUAAAGGCGGGGAUCCUUCGGGACCUGUCGCUUCAGGAUGGGCUCAAGCCCUAUCAGCUUGUUGGUGAGGUAAUGGCUCACCAAGGCUAAGACGGGUAGCUGGUCUGAGAGGAUGGUCAGCCACACUGGGACUGAGACACUGCCCAGACUCCUACGGGAGGCUGCAGUCGAGAAUCAUUGUCAAUGCGCGAAAGCGUGAACAUGCGACGCCGCGUGGAGGAUGAAGGC
rnacentral:rRNA from 1 species